CCGGGGCCAGUCCUCCAGCAGCUUCUCCAUAAAUGUUGGUUGGAUGGAUGGACAAGAGAGAAGGCGGCGGAGGUGAAGGGGUCAGCCGUGCCCGAGGACAAGCCCACGUUCACAGGCCCAGGAAUCCACCCGCUUCAGACCGGGGAGAGGACAGUCUGCAGGACCAGGAUGAGCUGAGGGCAUCGUGGCCACCACGGACAGGCACCGUACCGGGAGGACACUGGGACAGGCCCCAGGAACCGUCAGCGAAGGCCACAAGGAGCUGAUUAUCCUCAGGCGCCUUUCCAUGCGGAGACGCCGAGGUCUGGGCAACGCCAGCUCUGAUUCCGCGGAUGGGGCCCGGAGGCGGAUCUGGGGAGCGCGACCUGGGUGUGCGGUGCCUGUGGAACUUCGGGGUCCUGUGCGGGCUGUGACCCAGAUGAAGAGGCUGUCAUUGCUCAGGUGGACAGCAGGCUGCCCAGGGACAAAUUGUCCACAGGGGCAGGUCCAGGGUCUGGGCUCAGGACCGUGUGAGUCCCCUGUGCGGCUGCCUCUGCUGGGCUUCUCCACCCUCCAGACAUCUCUCUGGCAGGGGAGACCUUGCCCCAAAUGAUAAGUGGCAAGAUGGCUGCAGUGUCUGUGCACAUCAUCCUCACGACCCAGUAUCCAAGGCCAGAAAAGAGAAUGUAUCCUGUUUAUGUUCUUCUAAUGAGGAAGGUGUUCCUGGAGGGUACCCAGAACCUUCCCCUUGUGUCCCCUGGGCCACCAUCGCAUCCCACGGCCAUUCCUGGACAACUCUCUAGCGAGGGAAGAGCCGUGGACAUCAGGGCCCUGGAGUCCUGCAGACCCGAGACCUCAGAAGCCUCCUGGAGCCAGCCUGGCGGGUCCUGGAAGAGAAACCAGGAGCAUUUUCAAGAUGGAGGCCACCUGUCGGGAGCAGAGACUGGCAUCUCCAGAUGGCAUCUUCGGAGACCAGCGUGUCGGCACCGGGGCUCUCAGCACCUCUGUCCACCCCGCAAACCCCACUCUCCCCUGCUGCGGUGCCCAGGAGGAGGACGGCAGGUCUCCCUAGUGUCCUCCUAAGUCAACCAAAGCAGAUGCCCGGUUCCAGCCUUUCACGGUCACAGCCAACACUUGUGGAGUCAUUUUCCUCCCACAUUCGGAUUCCUGGACCUAAGCUAAGUGGAGCGCUGCAGAAAACUCUGGUUAAAGUGUGACAGUGAGAAAGAGAAGGGCAGGAUUCCUUCACUCUUGAGAAGGACUCUGUGCCCAGAAGGGACAUUUCUGUCCCUAAAGAUGUGCUGGGGGAAGCCUGGCGGAGACCUGUGCUUCCCGCCCAUCUGAACUCUUAUCCCAUGAAACCUUAAGUUGCUUAAAAACGUUGAAACGCCUAUGGGAUGACUUUAAAGGGUUUGUGCCUAAAGUAGAGCAUUCUAACUGGAGAUCAAUAGAAACGAUUUGCAAUUGCUGGUUGUGUUUGAACCACCUGAACGAACAACCCACCGGCAGGUUUGCAGGUGUGGGUGUAUCGCAGGACAAGACCCAAGGAAGUUUCCCUGGUGCACACAAAGGAGCUUUGGUGGGCUCCAGCCGAUCUGGGGUCAGCAAGCUCUUCUUUAGUCAGCAGGGGACUCAAACACCCAGGAGGCUCAUCUUCUGGGCGUCUUACUUUUAUAGGCCUCAUUUAGGGCGGGGCAGAAAGGUAGUUCCUAGGGUCAGCUGAUCUACCGGGGUGGGACAGAAGGGUGGGUGGGGAAGUUCCUAGGGUGCACUGCAUUGGGAUCAGCGGAUCCCUUAGAGCAGGGAGUUAAGUGCCCUUGGGUGUGAGUUCUUUUUUAUUUUUUAGGUGUCGAUGGACACAACACAAUGCCUUUAUUUUUUUUUUUUUAUGCGGUGCUGAGGAUCGAACCCGGUCCCGACCGACCAUGCUAGGUGAGCGCUCUACCUCUGAGCCACAGUCCCAGCCCUGGGUGUGAGUUCUUUUCCCUCCCUGCCUUCCCUCUGGCUGAGGCCUAGGACCUUAAAUAAUAAAAGCUCCAAUUGACCAUGGACAAAGCGGGUGAGGAAACAGGUAUAGACGGGGCAGUGUCCUGGGGUCUACUUUCCAUGUCUUUUAUCCCUUCUGUACCCUGGUGAACCGUACUGUGCAAACAGCCACGUAGAUCAAUCGGUGAGAGAUGCCCAGGGCUCAUCUGAACUGGACUGGACGGGGCUGGGAGCGUCCCCAGGUGUCUGGCAGAGGCAAGGAAAAAACAUAUGAAAAAUAAUCCAGAAAAAGGCUGAUUCCUUUGGGAGAACAGCCAAGAUGCACCUGGAGAGCAUGUCCACCGUCCCUCCUGGUCCCUGGGCCUGGCAAGUGGUUCGAGCUGGGAACAUGUGUCUAUUAAUUAUGGAACAACUUUUUUUCCUUUUCUUUUCUUUUUUUUUGGCUAAGCCAUUCAGAUUCGAGGAUUUAGCUAGUAAAGAUAAAUACAAUUACUUACAUUUCAAUCAAUACUUAAUUUCUUGCAGUUAUAGAUCGCACAUCCUAGCUCUCUUGGUUCUGCUUUUACUGUCAACUUAUGGAUCUUGAUAUUUUAUUUAUGAACUUAGUAAUUUUUGUAGAAAAAGCAAGAUCACAUUUACUUCUUUAUUGAUUCAUGUUCAAUUAUGUCAUAAAUUUGACAGAUGAAAUUCCCAUAAACUUUUUAACACCAUUUAAACAUUUCAUUAAGCAACUUCUGUUACAUAUCUCAAACUACAAUUGCAAAUUUAAUUUAUCCAAUUCAAACACUUCAAACACCUGACAAGGGAGACUUUGGAAUAUGAUAAACGAAUUAUUUCUAAGUACUUAAGCAACUUUUGCAAAUCUAAUCAGACAUAAAAUUAGUUUUAUUGUAAACAUCAUAAAAAGCAAUCCCCAACACAUAAAAAUGAGGCAAUGAUGAUAAAAUUUCUUACUACAACUGUAAAUACAACUUAUACAAAAGUAUCAAUAUUAUGGACUCAUUUAUUUCUUUAUCAUCUUGUUAUGUUAUGUCUUCCUUUCAAUAUUAUGUUUGUAAUACUCGUCCUGUUAUAAUUGUAGCUUGUUGUGUUUUCAUUGUUGCAUAUUAUUCCAUUGCAAUGUCUAUGCCACAUUCUAUUCUUGUAUCAAAGAUUGAAUUUAGGGUCUUAUGCAAGCCAGGCAAGUCUCUAACCACUGACCCAUAUCUUCAGCCCUUUUCUUUUUGUGGUACUGGGGAUUGAGCCCAGGGGUGCUUUACCAUGGAGACACAACCCCAGCCCUUUCUAUUUUUUAUUUUGAGACAGGGUCUUUCCAAGUUUCUUAGUGCCUUGCUAAAUGCUGAGGCUGGACUUGAACUUGUGAUCCUCCUGCCUCAACCUCCCAAGUCACUGUGAUUAUAGAAAUCCUCCUUCUUUUUUUAAUUGUCUCAUUAUACUUGUACAGACUUAUGGGAUCCAGGGUGAAGUUUUGAUACAUGUAUACCGUGUAAUGGCCAAUUCAGGGUAAUUAGCCUAUCCAUCACCUCCAACGUGUACUGUUUCUUUGUGGUAAAACAUUCAAAAUUGUCUCUUGCAGCUAGCUAUUGUGCACAGUCUACUCUUGGUGAAUAUUUAGGUUGUUCCAUUUUCAGCUAUUAUUAACAGUGUUUCUGUGCUCUAAAAAUAUCCUUAUACAUUUUCAUGACACAUAUGCAUGGAUUUGUUUGAGGUUUAUACCCAGGAUUAUAAUUACUGGUCAUGUAGUGUUAUCACCUUUCCUAGAAAAAGCUAAACUCUUUUCCAAAGUGGUUGUAACAUCCCUGCCCUCCCCUCCGGUCUGUGUUGACAAGCUGUAUUUUUCUAGGAAUUCCCCCAUUUCAUCUAAAAUUUCAACCUGAUUGGCAUCAGGGUGUUCCCCAUGUUCUCCUCCCUUCCUUGGAUGCUGGGGACUGAGCCAGGCCUUGCUCACGCUGGGCAGGUGUUCUGCCAGGAAGCCUCACCUUCCGCUCAAAUCCUCUUCUUUGUGGCCGCUGUAGCAUGGGUGGUGUUACUUUUGAUACGAUUUGUUUCUGCUCUUUAUCCUUCGGGGACCAGUGUCCUCAGGGCAAAAAUGGCUUCAUUGAUCACUUUCCUCCCUUGGUUUGCAUAUUUUCUUUCCAACUUUCCCUAGCGAUUUCUUACCGUCUCCUUAGCCCUUCAUUUCUUUGAAGAUUUUAAGCCUGAGACGGUGGGGCACACCUGUAAUCCCAGCAACUCAGGAGGCUGAGGCAGGAGGAUUGCAAGUUUAAGACCAGCUCAGCCACUUGGUGAGGCCCUAAGCA
rnacentral:lncRNA from 1 species